AAGGGCGUAGUUUAACUGGUAGAAUAACGCAUUCCAAAUGCGUCGGUUGCGAGUUCGAGUCUUGCCGCCCUUG
rnacentral:tRNA from 1 species